rnacentral:rRNA from 1 species
UACAGAGGGGGCAAGCGUUAUUCGGAAUUAUUGGGCGUAAAGGGCGCGUAGGCGGCCUGGCAAGUGGAAGGUGAAAUCCCUCGGCUUAACCGAGGAACUGCCCUCCAAACUGCUUGGCUUGAGUCCGGGAGAGGUGAGUGGAAUUCCCAGUGUAGCGGUGAAAUGCGUAGAUAUUGGGAGGAACAUCGGUGGCGAAGGCGGCAUCCUGGACCGGCAUUGACGCUGAGGCGCGAAAGCCAGGGGAGCAAACGGG